AUUCAGAUUCAGAUUUUAUUUCCACUUAGAGGUUGCAGUGGGGCUUCCUGGCAGUGCUGCUAACACCGAGUCCCGCCACAAAGCGACAUCGAGAGGAAGGUCUGGCACCCGGUGGCCGCCAUGGAGUCUGGCCUCGAGCAACUCCCAGUUUUUGCUCCCCCAGGCCACGCUGCAUCGGGCGGUACUGCCAUCAUUCCUCGUUAAUGCCUCACCAAGUCACGCUAAAUCAACACGGACAAGGCCUCGUGGGUGUUCCGUAGGCUACAGCCCCUCCUGCCUCCACCACCACGCCCGACUUCUCCCACCGCUUGCUCCACACUCGCCGACCCCACCACAUCCUCGCCUCCACCAUCCAGGUGACCUGGAACAGACGGACAGCGGACAGAAAAGCGUGGAUGCUUUUGUCCUGCAGUGGAAUCCUACACGCAGCCGAUAAUGACACACAAAGAGGAUACAACUGUUUUUUUCUUCACUCUCCAACGUUUAAAGGAAUUUCCAUCUCCUCCCUUUCACCUCCCACUCCUCCAGCCGUCGCAUCCCUCCCUCCCUCAUCCUGCUCCUCCCACUCGCUCCAGCCACUCCCUCAACACCCCCCGAGGCUUCCCAUUAAUCUUGCCGCCGUCUCGCCCCAUAAUGAACACCUCAGCUUUACCUGCUCUAUUAACACCUGACGUAAGUACAGUGAUCCGCGCGGCUGUGGGUGGCGGGUCAUAUACAUCGACGAAUUAACGGCGUCACCUGCCCGCCCUGCUCACCCUGGCCCAGAAGUUUUGUGAUUUAAUAAAAGAAGGUAUUAUUACUUCACAAUAUAUCCCGCGUUUCCUUACUCUGUUUAGAAUUCGGCUACUUUUAUUUACAUAUAUAUUAUGCAAGUGGAUAUUUCUUAACAUUUCCUUUUUUCCUUUCUGGGGAUGAGCGAAUGAAAGGAAUGUAACAAUAAAGAUGAAUUAACGUUACUGUGGUGAAGGGAAAAAAAGGAGUUUAAUGUAGGAGAGCGUGAUGGUAAUACUUUAGAGGAUAAUGAGGUGGUAGUGGCAAUGGUAUAGUAGUAGUGAUGUAGUGGCAGUGAUAGUGUUGCUAGUUUUGUUGUUCUUCUUGUUGUUAUAAUUCUUACAUGCAAUUUUUAAGGUUCUAUUAUUGCUGAAAGUGGCCAUAAAUAACUUGCUCUUGUUGUUAAAUGUGCUGCUCAUAUGUUCGAAUAUGUACGUUAAUAUCGCCGCUGGUUGUGUUGGUGGUAGUUGCUUCUGUUGCUGACAGUGAAGGUGGUUAAUGAUGUUAGUGUUGUUACUGUUGUUGUCCUUCAUCUUCGUGUUUGAGUUAUAGUUUUGUUGUUGUUGUUGUUGUUGUUGUUGUUGUUGUUGUUCUUGUUGUUCAUCUUCUUUAGGUCUGAAUUAUAGUUUUGUUGUUGUUGUUGUUGUUGUUGUAGUUUUUAUAGUUCUUUAAUGGUUUGUUUUUGAUGAUAGGAGUUAUAAAUAAUCAAGUUACUCUCGCUGUUACAUGUGCCGUUCUUACGUUUGAAUACGUUACUAUCGCUGCUGGUUGUGGUGGUAACAGCUAUUUCGUUGUUGGCGGUGGUGGUGGCGUGACCAAGACUCGGUGUGGGGGUCAGCGUUUUACGGAUAAAGCUUUCUGUAAGUCAACGAAAUUUAAUCUUACAUCAUUUUAUGCGUGCGAGUGUGCGUGUGCGUCUGAUCUUUUAUACACAAAGGGGGUGGUAGCAAUGGUGGUGGUAGUGGAGGUGGAGGAGGUGGUGGUGGUGGAAGUGUUGAUGGCGGUUGUAGUGUCGUCGAUAGUGAUGAUGGUGUUAUUAGAGGUAAUGGUGCUUGUGGUAGUGAUUAUGAUGGAAGUAGCGGUGGUGCUGGUGCUGGUGGUAAUAAUGGCAGUGGUGGUGAGGGUGGCGUCGUUAGUGGUGUUGGUAAUGAUAGUAGUGGUAGUGGCACUGAUAAUGUCAGUGGCAGUGAUAAUGGCAGUGGUGGUGAUAGUGGCAGUGGUGGUGACAGUGGCAGUGGUGGUGAUAGUGGCAGUGGUGGUGAUAGUGGCAGUGGUGGUGAUAAUGGAAGUAGUGGUGGUGGUGGUGGGGGUGGUGGUGGUAGUGGUGGCGUGCUGCGGUAUUCGUGCAGCCACUCACAGGUGUCAGCGAGAAGGAGAAGGAGGCGUUAUUUUGUCAUUAGGAAUAAUUUUUGUGUUGUUUGUAAGCACAGUUCUCGA